UACAGAGGUCUCAAGCGUUGUUCGGAUUCAUUGGGCGUAAAGGGUGCGUAGGCGGCGCGGUAAGUCGGGUGUGAAAUCUCGGAGCUUAACUCCGAAACUGCAUUCGAUACUGCCGUGCUUGAGGACUGGAGAGGAGACUGGAAUUUACGGUGUAGCAGUGAAAUGCGUAGAUAUCGUAAGGAAGACCAGUGGCGAAGGCGAGUUUCUGGACAGUUACUGACGCUGAGGCACGAAGGCCAGGGGAGCAAACGGG
rnacentral:rRNA from 1 species